rnacentral:rRNA from 1 species
ACUCCUACGGGAGGCAGCAGUGGGGAAUAUUGCACAAUGGGGGAAACCCUGAUGCAGCCAUGCCGCGUGUGUGAAGAAGGCCUUCGGGUUGUAAAGCACUUUCAGUAGGGAGGAAGGUAGUGUAGUUAACACCUGCAUUAUUUGACGUUACCUACAGAAGAAGCACCGGCUAACUCCGUGCCAGCAGCCGCGGUAAUACGGAGGGUGCGAGCGUUAAUCGGAAUUACUGGGCGUAAAGCGCAUGCAGGCGGCCUGUUAAGUCAGAUGUGAAAGCCCGGGGCUUAACCUCGGAAUUGCAUUUGAAACUGGCAGGCUAGAGUCUUGUAGAGGGGGGUAGAAUUUCAGGUGUAGCGGUGAAAUGCGUAGAGAUCUGAAGGAAUACCAGUGGCGAAGGCGGCCCCCUGGACAAGACUGACGCUCAGAUGCGAAAGCGUGGGG